ACGUGACAUUCUACGUGGAAGUGUCAGUGAUGUGACGGUGUCUGAUAGCUCUACUUUGCAGUGUGGUGGCAACGUUCUUCUGCAAUAAUUCACUUGCAGAGGAGCAAGCCCCACGUCUGGGGACAGGAGUGAUCAGCGAUUUCAAACCAGGCCAUGAACUGACCUUGUUGCAUGUCUUCCACGAGAGAGGUGACACGUGUGCAGGGCAGGGAGGGAGAGACGCUGAACAGCUCUGAAAGUUUUCCAAGUGGUUGUCUCUGGGAGGGAAUUCUCCUGCGUGUGGCUGAG